UUUGCCUUAACUCCUCUGCGCCCAGCACCGAUGACACCAUCGGGGACCUUAAGAAGCUCAUCGCAGCCCAAACUGGCACCCGUUGGAACAAGAUUGUCCUUAAGAAGUGGUACACGAUUUUUAAGGACCACGUGUCUCUGGGGGACUAUGAAAUCCACGAUGGGAUGAACUUGGAACUUUAUUACCAAUAGAGCAGAAUUCCUUCCCCCUGCCCUACCCUCCUCUCCCAGCCUCACCCUCCCACACUGGUAAUGGAUGCUUGUUUUUAAAAAUUCAUGUUAAUAAAAACUUAGAUGCUG